rnacentral:rRNA from 1 species
GACGAACGCUGGCGGCGUGCUUAACACAUGCAAGUCGAACGGUGAAGCGCCUUCCUUUUUGGUGGGUGUGGAUGAGUGGCGAACGGGUGAGUAACACGUGAGUAACCUGCCCCCUUCUUCUGGAUAACCGCAUGAAAGUGUGGCUAAUACGGGAUAUUCUGGGUCUGUCGCAUGAUGGGUCUGGGAAAGAUAUUGUUUCGGUGGGGGAUGGGCUCGCGGCCUAUCAGCUUGUUGGUGGGGUGAUGGCCUACCAAGGUGGUGACGAGUAGCCGGCCUGAGAGGGUGGACGGUCACACUGGGACUGAGACACGGCCCAGACUCCUACGGGAGGCAGCAGUGGGGAAUAUUGCACAAUGGGCGCAAGCCUGAUGCAGCGACGCCGCGUGAGGGAUGGAGGCCUUCGGGUUGUGAACCUCUUUCGCCGGUGAAGCAGGCCUGCCUCGUUUGUGGGUGGGUUGACGGUAGCUGGAUAAGAAGCGCCGGCUAACUACGUG